rnacentral:rRNA from 1 species
UACGUAGGGGGCAAGCGUUGUCCGGAAUCAUUGGGCGUAAAGAGCGCGUAGGCGGUCCGGUAAGUCCGCCCUGAAAGUCCGGGGCUCAACCCCGGGAGGCGGGCGGAUACUGUCGGGCUAGAGUCCGGAAGAGGCGAGUGGAAUUCCUGGUGUAGCGGUGAAAUGCGCAGAUAUCAGGAGGAACACCAAUGGCGAAGGCAGCUCGCUGGGACGGUACUGACGCUGAGGCGCGAAAGCGUGGGGAGCAAACAGG